rnacentral:rRNA from 1 species
GCCCUUGAAGUAGGGGAUAACACUUGGAAACAGGUGCUAAUACCGUAUAACAACCAAAACCACCUGGUUUUGGUUUAAAAGAUGGCUUCGGCUAUCACUUUAGGAUGGACCCGCGGCGUAUUAGCUUGUUGGUAAGGUAACGGCCUACCAAGGCAAUGAUACGUAGCCGACCUGAGAGGGUAAUCGGCCACAUUGGGACUGAGACACGGCCCAAACUCCUACGGGAGGCAGCAGUAGGGAAUCUUCCACAAUGGACGAAAGUCUGAUGGAGCAACGCCGCGUGAGUGAUGAAGGGUUUCGGCUCGUAAAACUCUGUUGUUGGAGAAGAACAGGUGUGAGAGUAACUGUUCACAUCUUGACGGUAUCCAACCAGAAAGCCACGGCUAACUACGUGCCAGCAGCCGCGGUAAUACGUAGGUGGCAAGCGUUGUCCGGAUUUAUUGGGCGUAAAGCGAGCGCAGGCGGUUUCUUAGGUCUGAUGUGAAAGCCUUCGGCUUAACCGGAGAAGUGCAUCGGAAACCAGGAGACUUGAGUGCAGAAGAGGACAGUGGAACUCCAUGUGUAGCGGUGAAAUGCGUAGAUAUAUGGAAGAACACCA